UCUGAGUGCCCGCUUGAAGGACACAUGGUUGAAGCCUGGAGACAUUUUUCUCCUUAGUCCUGUCUAAAACAUGUGUCAUCAGCGAUUUGCCCAGCAGAGUUCCAGGAUGUUCCUCAGAGUCAUAGUGGAUCAGAGGUCAAAACUCUUCCCAUCCUCUCAGAGUGGACUGGGCUAGUUCUUGGGCUCUCUUCCAAAGCUGAAUAUUGGCACCAAGAAAGAAGUAGUGACCCAAAGCAUCCUCUUCCUCCAACACAGAAUUGGCAGCUGUGAGGAUGCCAAGACCUCAGACUCAAAACCAGCUGAGACAAGUGAAACUUAAACCAUUUGUCAAACAAGCAUCUCACAGCUAUGAAGAAUGAAGCCUUCAGAAUGAACUUAGAGCCAAGUAGCUGGAAUGCAUAUCUUCUCUGGGAUCGUGCUCUCAAAAUAAAAGUGACUACAUAUAGAACGGAAAAUGGAAAAGGCAAAUGCCACCACGGGGAGCAAAAGAAGGUCAUUUCCACAGAUGGAGCAGGACGAGAAGAUUUGAAGGAGCAACAGCAAGGCUGUCAGCUGAGCCUGCUCGUGCACAUUGAAACAAAACCCCAAAAGACAACAGGAUGGGACAAAUCUUCAGACAAAAAUAAAUGCAAGCAAAAGCGAAAAGGUUGAGAUGGCUCACUAAGAAACAAUAGAAGACUGCCUGCAGAAACCAGAGAAGCUAAAAGUGAAGUCCAGUUAGUGUCAUAUACCAGCUCUCACCUGUGGUCCUUGGAUGUCUCUUCUUGCUAAUCCAGAGGCCCUUCCUAUGGUCAAGGACAGGACCUUCCUGUGAAGAUGUUUCUUCUUCAGUCAUCUUUGAGCAAGAGGAACAGAUCUGAGGACCUUAGACUUAAAGAAGGAUAAAAAAAAAAAUCAUUCCUUUUCAACUUGUCUUGAGUGAUCUGGACUCUUAGGUACACUUAUAUUCAGAGCAUUCCUGGGGCUAGAAUAACCUGACCCUUACUAUGUUCACUCUUGCUGGGAGCACCCAUAUGGACCCUGAAAGUAAGUUGAGACUAAACUGUGAGGGUAGCUUCCUCUAGUAGCAUUUGUAGCAUUUGUAAGAUGCUUUUCUGAGGGUGCUACACAUCAAAGAAACUACAGUGUCCUUUCAUUGUCUGCUGCAGUUUGAACUUAGCUGCAUCCCUUAGUUAAGGGAAAAGUCUGUCCCCUAGGCUGGUUAGGUGUUAGCAAUGGCCAUUUUCCACAGUGGAGCUGCUCCUACAGAAUGGAGAUCUUAGAACUCAGAUCAGGAGAAGGGAAAGUGAAAGAGUGCCUUGACUAGGAGUUUGGGCCAGAAAGACCACAGGCAGGAUCUGUUGUGGAGCAUAUAUGACAAAGCUCAGUGGUGCUUUCAGAAACAACUGGGGGCAGUUGAUAUGGGAAAGUUCAUGCUGUUAAGGUAAAUUUUGGGUACUAACACAGCUGCAAACUUAUUUUUUAAGACUCCUGUGUUGCAGGUAGUCCUAGUAUUCAUUUAUAAGAUUUUUCUUCCCUACAAAAUGGGAUUUCAAACCUUACAAUAAUUUUAUCUGGAACAAUACUACGUAUUUUUAAAAAAAUUUAUUUUUUUUUAAGAACUUGUUACAGGCAUGAAAGAGAGUAAAUUAUGAGUAAAACUCAUGAUCUUCGAAUAUUUUGGAUUAA